rnacentral:rRNA from 1 species
CCUACGGGGGGCAGCAGUGGGGAAUAUUGGACAAUGGGGGGAACCCUGAUCCAGCCAUGCCGCGUGUGUGAAGAAGGCCCUCGGGUUGUAAAGCACUUUCAGUGAGGAAGAACGCCUGGUGGUUAAUACCCAUCAGGAAAGACAUCACUCACAGAAGAAGCACCGGCUAACUCCGUGCCAGCAGCCGCGGUAAUACGGAGGGUGCGAGCGUUAAUCGGAAUUACUGGGCGUAAAGCGCGCGUAGGUGGCUUGAUAAGCCGGUUGUGAAAGCCCCGGGCUCAACCUAGGAACGGCAUCCGGAACUGUCAAGCUAGAGUGCAGGAGAGGAAGGUAGAAUUCCCGGUGUAGCGGUGAAAUGCGUAGAGAUCGGGAGGAAUACCAGUGGCGAAGGCGGCCUUCUGGACUGACACUGACACUGAGGUGCGAAAGCGUGGGUAGCAAACAGGAUUAGAUACCCUAGUAGUC